AGAUGCGAGAGUAGAGCAUAUCAAUAAGCGGAGGAAAAGAAACUAACUAAGGAUUCCCUCAGUAACGGCGAGUGAAGCGGGAAGAGCUCAAAUUUGAAAUCUUCAAGGUUCUACCUUGACGAAUUGUAGUUUAAAGAAGUGUUUUCUGUUGGAGUUUCGGUAAAAGUUCUUUGGAAUAGGACAUCAUAGAGGGUGAGAAUCCCGUAUUUGACCAUUACUUUCCAGCUGUGUGAUACACUAUCGAAGAGUCGGAUUGUUUGGGAAUGCAGUCCAAAAUGGGUGGUAAAUUUCAUCUAAAGCUAAAUAUUGGCGAGAGACCGAUAGCGAACAAGUACCGUGAGGGAAAGAUGAAAAGAACUUUGAAAAGAGAGUUAAACAGUACGUGAAAUUGUCAAAAGGGAAGCGUUUGACACCAGUGUUGUUUAGUUGAAAAUCAAUUCAAUAAUUUUUUGAUUUUUUUGAGUAGUAUUGACUUCAUCAGCUUGCUGCUUUCUUCUCAGAAAUUAUUGAAUGCACUUUUCAGUUAACAAGUCAACAUCAAUUUCUUUUGUUGUAAAAGGGUAAGAGGAAGGUGGCUUACGCUUCGGCGUCAAGUGUUUAUAGCCUUUUAUCUCUGCAAUCGGAGAGAUUGAGGUACAUGCAGCGUAGACUCCUUCGGGGUUAGAUACACUUGUGCUAAGCUAUAGCCUUGUAUAGACAACUUGUUGACUAUGCUCAGUCAUGUAGCUUACUCGCUGAUGCUAUUUUACCUACGCUUAGGAUGUUGACGCGCGUGUGUGCGUG
rnacentral:rRNA from 1 species